GACUGAUGGCCGGCUCUCUUCACCAAAGGCCAGGUGUGUGCUGAGUUCAACAGAGUAGCAAGCAAGAAUCUGGAGGGAGAUUUCUUUGAGGCGCUGGACCAGCUCAUUCCGCGUUUUUUGCAGCUGUUCAAGGAAAGAAAUGGGACCGCUAGGCAGAAGCUGACAGAACUCAUGCAGGACAUCAACUUUGUAACAUCAGAUGUGAUAGCCCAGCGCACCUUGGUCCUCAAAGGAAUUCCUAUCUUGCUUGGAGACAAGUCCAAUGAGUUCUACAGGACAAC